rnacentral:rRNA from 1 species
UGGGGAAUUUUGGACAAUGGGCGAAAGCCUGAUCCAGCAAUGCCGCGUGUGUGAAGAAGGCCUUCGGGUUGUAAAGCACUUUUGUCCGGAAAGAAAUCCUUGGCUCUAAUACAGUCGGGGGAUGACGGUACCGGAAGAAUAAGCACCGGCUAACUACGUGCCAGCAGCCGCGGUAAUACGUAGGGUGCAAGCGUUAAUCGGAAUUACUGGGCGUAAAGCGUGCGCAGGCGGCUUGCUAAGACCGAUGUGAAAUCCCCGGGCUCAACCUGGGAACUGCAUUGGUGACUGGCAGGCUAGAGUAUGGCAGAGGGGGGUAGAAUUCCACGUGUAGCAGUGAAAUGCGUAGAGAUGUGGAGGAAUACCGAUGGCGAAGGCAGCCCCCUGGGCCAAUACUGACGCUCAUGCACGAAAGCGUGGGGAGCAAACAGGAUUAGAUACCCUGGUAGUCCACGCCCUAAACGAUGUCAACUAGUUGUUGGGGAUUCAUUUCCUUAGUAACGUAGCUAACGCGUGAAGUUGACCGCCUGGGGAGUACGGUCGCAAGAUUAAAACUCAAAUGAAUUGACGGGGUCAU